rnacentral:rRNA from 1 species
AUUGAACGCUGGCGGCAGGCCUAACACAUGCAAGUCGAACGGUAACAGGAAACAGCUUGCUGUUUCGCUGACGAGUGGCGGACGGGUGAGUAAUGUCUGGGAAACUGCCUGAUGGAGGGGGAUAACUACUGGAAACGGUAGCUAAUACCGCAUAACGUCGCAAGACCAAAGAGGGGGACCUUCGGGCCUCUUGCCAUCGGAUGUGCCCAGAUGGGAUUAGCUAGUAGGUGGGGUAACGGCUCACCUAGGCGACGAUCCCUAGCUGGUCUGAGAGGAUGACCAGCCACACUGGAACUGAGACACGGUCCAGACUCCUACGGGAGGCAGCAGUGGGGAAUAUUGCACAAUGGGUGCAAGCCUGAUGCAGCCAUGCCGCGUGUAUGAAGAAGGCCUUCGGGUUGUAAAGUACUUUCAGCGGGGAGGAAGGGAGUAAAGUUAAUACCUUUACUCAUUGACGUUACCCGCAGAAGAAGCACCGGCUAACUCCGUG